GGUGGCUCAGUGGUAGAGAGCUUGCCUUGCAUGCAUGAGGCCUUGGGUUCGAUUCCUCAGCACCA
rfam:Dipodomys ordii contig_42514, whole genome shotgun sequence.